rnacentral:rRNA from 1 species
CUGAACUGAACAUACUGAACUUGCACUAACUUUUGACAGCAGAGUUAAAAUUAUCAUACUCUAUAUACAUGCACAAAUUUGAUCUCUGUGACCACAACAACAACAUAUUCAGUCUAUCUAGACUGAACCUUCUGCAUCAUGUGUUUGGCGAGCAUGCAGUACAACCUUCCAGAGCAUGCCACCCUGCUGCCCUUCUUCUGAUGGAUCUUCACUGCAGUUCAGGACAUGCUUGGCGAGCAUGCAGGGGAGCUUGCAGGGGAGGUGAGGCGUACUGCGCCAGCCACGACGCCUCCGAGGUCAGCCUCUUCUUGGUCCCGUCGGUGGCCUCGUCCUUGUACGCGUAGGGCUCCUCCUGCGUCUCCUGGCUCUGCAGCGACGCUGGCGUCUUGCCUCGUCGGAGGAGCACCGCCAGUAGGAGGAGGAGCACGUCAGAGGCCAGCGACACCGCCGUGUAUCCGGAGGCACGGAGGGGGGCGUCGGAGGCCAGCGAUCUGACGGCGGUCGCUAGCAGCAGCGCGCUCAGGUCCGCCCGGCCUCGGCGCACAGCAUGUCGGAGCCGGCAAAUCGAGAGCUUUGCAGAGAAGGGGAUCCAUUUCCUCUUGAUCUCCCCUCCCCUCCCCCCUCGUCGGGAUCAGGCAACGCGGACGAAGAAAGGCGGCGAUAUGAAGGGGAGAAGGCGGCCGGCGCGUGGCGAGGCGACGGAGCAGGCGGCCGGGGGUGAGGAUGUCGCCGUCGCCGUCGCAAGAUUGAGGAGGGGAGGAUGGGGGGACGCGGUGCGGGCUGUGUCGUUUGUCGGAUUAAUGCGAGGGGGGUUUUCACAAAUUGUCAUCGCGGACAAC